rnacentral:rRNA from 1 species
CCUACGGGCGGCAGCAGUGAGGAAUAUUGGUCAAUGGUCGGGAGACUGAACCAGCCAAGCCGCGUGAGGGAGGAAGGUACAGAGUAUCGUAAACCUCUUUUGUCAGGGAACAAAGGCGGGGACGUGUCCCCGGAUGAGUGUACCUGAAGAAAAAGCAUCGGCUAACUCCGUGCCAGCAGCCGCGGUAAUACGGAGGAUGCGAGCGUUAUCCGGAUUUAUUGGGUUUAAAGGGUGCGUAGGCUGUGAGGUAAGUCAGCGGUGAAAUGCCCCCGCUCAACGGGGUGAAGUGCCAUUGAUACUGCCUUGCUGGAAUGCGGAUGCCGUGGGAGGAAUGUGUGGUGUAGCGGUGAAAUGCAUAGAUAUCACACAGAACAUCGAUUGCGAAGGCAUCUCACGAAUCCGCGAUUGACGCUGAUGCACGAAAGCGUGGGUAUCAAACAGGAUUAGAUACCCUUGUAGUC